UUGGAGGAAAGUAGGGGAUCGCAAGACCUUGCGCUAUUGGAUGAGCCGAAGUCGGAUUAGCUUGUUGGUGAGGUAACGGCUCACCAAGGCGACGAUCCGUAGCUGGUCUGAGAGGACGACCAGCCACACUGGGACUGAGACACGGCCCAGACUCCUACGGGAGGCAGCAGUGGGGAAUAUUGGACAAUGGGGGCAACCCUGAUCCAGCGACGCCGCGUGUGUGAAGAAGGCCUGCGGGUUGUAAAGCACUUUUAGUGGGGAGGAAAACCCCCGACCUAAUACGUCGGGAAUUGACUUAACCCACAGAAAAAGCACCGGCUAACUCUGUGCCAGCAGCCGCGGUAAUACAGAGGGUGCAAGCGUUAAUCGGAAUUACUGGGCGUAAAGCGUGCGUAGACGGUUAUUUAAGUCAGAUGUGAAAUCCCCGGGCUCAACCUGGGAAUUGCGUUUGAAACUACAAAGCUAG
rnacentral:rRNA from 1 species